UGGGCAGAGGGGGACCAGAGCGACCGCUGGGAUCAUUGCGAUUGACUGAAUCACGGAACCUGUAAUCCUGAAACUCCUCUCCAACACCCUACGCACGCCACGCGCGGCCGUCCCCCGUCCCCGGCCGGCCGGAUUCUACAGUUUCAGCGCCGGCCCUACUGCGCCCAGGCCGUCGACAGCGCCACGCGAUCCGUUAGCAGCAGGCGCCGGCGGGGGCAGCGAGUCAGUGACAAGCAGUUCACUGCCAGGCCGGCCUGCCGCGAAAAUGCGAAAUGUUGGCUUCGUUCCCGUGUGUCCUCUCCACCUGCUGGCAUGGCGAGUGAUUAUGGCCGCGACGACGCGCGCGACUGUUGCGCUGGGGCACGCAGGCUCAGCUAGCCCGGCCCUUGUUUAGUCACCCCCAACUCCUAACUUUAGCACUAUGCAAAAAGAAGAUUCCCCAUCAAUCAAACUUGCGGUACAUGCAUGAAGUACUAAAUGUAGACGAAAUUAAAAACUAAUUACACAGUUUUGUUGUACUUUGCGACACAAAUCUUUUAAGCCUAAUUAGUCAAUGUUUGGACAAUAAUUCACAAAUACAAACGAAACACUACAGUGUGCUACAAUGCUGUAACAGUAAUUUGGUACCUCCAAACUUUAGCAACUAAACAAGGCCCCGGAUGCUGCGCCCGGCCAGCAAUCUGCAGUGCUGCUACAUACGGCCGUUAGCAGUUAGCCGCAGACGACCGGCCGGCCGGCCUGCCUGCCUGCCGGUCAUCUCGAUCGAAUUCCAGGGUCGCUACUGUGCCUGGCCGAGAGCCUAACGCCUCUCGUCAGGAAGGACCCUGUGCAUAAGCCUCGAGAUCGGCGACUGGCUCCUAGUACU
rnacentral:lncRNA from 1 species